rnacentral:lncRNA from 1 species
CCGGAUAAUCAAGCUACAGUAACCUCUGCUAAUGAUGCCACGUCACCUCGAUUACUGUUGCUAAUCUCGCGUCAGUUCGAAACCCAGUUCAAAUUUUAAAAAUAAAGUCAAACAAUAAAAGUUUCCAAACAUUAAAACUAAAAUGCUCUAAACGUGCCAAAUAAUGCAUAGGUAAUUAUGGUUAAGAAACCCCAUUUUUAUAAAAUGUUUAAGUACCCUUAGGUGAAUAAAAUAGUAGCAAAAACCAAUAUUUAAAUGCUUUUAUAAUUAACAAAAUACUAAACUAAAUUGCUUUGGGGUAAAACCUAUUGUUGUAGUGGGUUUUAAAGUAUUACUAAAUUAGGUAUCAUUUUAAUAUUAGAUAAAAAGCUAAAUGAAAAGGAAACUAGAAAUAAAACAGAAAAGAAAAAUGAAUAAAAAGUAAAAAGAAAACAAAAGAAAAGAAACCCCCGGCUCCCCAAGGGCCUUGGCCCACUGGCCUAGCUGGAGGGCAGGCCCAAACCGGCCCAGGCCGCCCUCCCUCACUCCCUUAUCCCCUGUCCAUGAACCCUAGCGGCCACUACUCCCCCCCACUUCUCCCCGAUCGCCUUCUCCUCCCCAUCUGGAUCGGGCAACUGCCCUGAGCCAUCGCCCCACAUCGCCAGCGCUCCUAUCCCGUCGCCCCACUCCCCCCCAUGUUCACCUCCUCUUCCCCCCACCCCCACCCCCCCCGAUCUGGAUAGGGGGGCAACUUCUCCCUCACCCGAGGCGCUCGCUGCCGUCNNNNNNNNNNNNNNNNNNNNNNNNNNNNNNNNNNNNNNNNNNNNNNNNNNNNNNNNNNNNNNNNNNNNNNNNNNNNNNNNNNNNNNNNNNNNNNNNNNNNNNNNNNNNNNNNNNNNNNNNNNNNNNNNNNNNNNNNNNNNNNNNNNNNNNNNNNNNNNNNNNNNNNNNNNNNNNNNNNNNNNNNNNNNNNNNNNNNNNNNNNNNNNNNNNNNNNNNNNNNNNNNNNNNNNNNNNNNNNNNNNNNNNNNNNNNNNNNNNNNNNNNNNNNNNNNNNNNNNNNNNNNNNNNNNNNNNNNGACCAUGACCCGCACGCGCGCCUUGCUCGCCCCGCACCGCCUCACACGCGCGGUGGCCGCGCCCACCGUUUGCCCCGCCGUGGCCAUCGCCUGCGCGACCAUGGUCGUGCGCUCGCCGUCCCGCUGCGCCCGCCACACCCCGCGCCACCGGACCGCGCUCGCUGCAGAGCCUGCAACGGCAGCGCGCUCCCAGCUCCCCCUUCUGCUGCUUCCACCGGUCGCGUCCGCGCGCUAGGCCACCCGCUCGCCGGCGUCCUCCAUCGCGCACCACGGCCAUGCCCAUAGUGUCCCAGCACUGUUGCGCCGCCGUCACCCCUCGCAUCGCCGCGGCUAAGCCUCGCCGCGCCUCGCCAGUCCCGCCCCGCGUCUGGCCUGGGCGAGCGCUCUAACGGGCUGGCGCCCGCGCCCGUAACCUCCACCCGCGCCUGUUAAGGCCCCAGGCCCAAUGACAGCCGGGGCCCCGCCCCAGAACUUUUUUUAAGUAAAUAAAUAAAUAAUAAUUAAUUACAAUAAUUAAUUAAUUAAGGAAUUAAUUAAGUUAAUUAAUCAUAUUUAGAUUAAUCUAAUCAGUAAUUAACCUAGUUAAUUAACUAAACUAAUUAAACCUGAUUAGUUAGUCUGAGACUAUGAUAGGUGGGUCCCACUGGACCCACCGGUCUGGUUUGACUCUGGUCAGCGGACCGUUGACCGCUGACGUCACCUCUAUGUCAUGCUGACGUCACCAGGCAUUGUUCUGGAUAGUGUUGAAUUAAAAUAAUUAAAUAAAUCCUAAAAUGAAUUAAAUCUUUUAAAAUCAAUAUAAAAUAAACCGUAGCUCGGAUGGAAAAACUUUGUACAUGAAAGUUGCUCAAAACGACGAGACGAAUACGAAUACACAGCCCGUUCAUCCUCCACACACACCUAGCAUAGCAAACCCGCAAUUUUCCCCCUCCGGUUCAUCUGCCCAAAACACGAAACACCGGGGAUACUUUCCCGGAUGUUUCCCCCCUUCGCCGGUAUCACCUCCUAUCGCGUUAGGGCACACCUAGCACCGUGCAUUGUCUUGUCAUGCAUCGUCGUGCUUAUGUUUGCAUUAUAUUUAUUGUUUCUUCCCCCUCUUCUCUGGUUAGACACCGAGAUCGACGCCGCUGCUACCCAGUACGACUACAGUGUUGACGACCCCUCUCUCUUGCCAAAGCAACCAGGCAAGCCCCCCCCCCUUGAUCACCAGAUAUCGCCUAUUCUUCUCUCUACUACUUGCAUUAGAGUAGUGUAGCAUGUUACUGCUUUCCGUUAAUCCUAUUCUGAUGCAUAGCCUGUCAUUGUUGCUACAACUGUUGAUACCUUUACCUGCUAUCCUAAUGUUUAAUAUAGGAUGCUAGUGUUCCAUCACUAGCCCUACACUCUUGUCCGUCUGCCAUGCUAUACUACUGGGUCAUGAUCACUUCGGGAGGUGAUCACGGGUAUAUACUAUAUACUUUAUAUACAUGACACAGGUGGUGACUAAAGUCGGGUCAGCUCGUUGAGUACCCGCAAGUGAUUCUGAUGAGAGGGCUGGAAGGACAGGUGACUCCAUCCCGGUAGAGGUGGGCCUGGGUUCCUGACGGCCCCCAACUGUUACUUUGAGGCGGAGCGACAGGGCAGGUUGAGACCACCUAGGAGAGAGGUGGGCCUGGCCCUGGUCGGCGUCCGCGGUUAUUUCAACAUAACACGUUUAACGAGAUCUUGGUAUUUGAUCUGAGUCUGGCUACUGGCCUAUACGCACUAACCAACUACGCGGGGACAAUUAUGGGCACUCAACGUCGUGGUAUCAGCCGAAGUCUUCGUGACGUCAGCGACUAAGCGGUGCGCGCCAGGUUGGACUGGAACGCGUGCUCUUGUAUAAGGGAGGCUAGGUCUGCUCACCGGCCGCGUACGCAACGUGCAGGUGUGCAAUGGGCGAUGGGCCCAGACCCCUGCGCCAUAGGAUUUAGACCGGCGUGCUGACCUCUCUGUUGUGCCUAGGUAGGGCUGCGACGUGUUGAUCUUCCGAGGCCGGGCAUGACCCAGAUAAGUGUGUCUGGACAAAGGGUAUCGAGCGUGUUGGGAAAUGUGGUGCACCCCUGCAGGGAAGUUAAUCUAUUCGAAUAGCCGUGAUCUUCGGUAAUAGGACGACUUGGAGUUGUACCUUGACUUUAUGACAACUAGAACCAGAUACUUAAUAAAACACAUCCUUCCAAGUGCCAGAUACAACCCGGUGAUCGCUCUCUAACAGGGCGACGAGGAGAGGAUCACCGGGUAGGAAUAUGCUAUGCGAUGAUACUUGGUGAACUUACCAUCUAUAAUCUUCUACAUGCUGCAAGAUGGAGGUGGCCAGAAGCGUAGUCUUCGAUAGGACUAGCUACCCCCUCUUAUUCCGGCAUUCUGCAGUUCAGUCCACAUAUGAUACCCUUAUUCCAUUUGAUACCAAUGCAUACAUAUGUAGUGUAGCUCCUUGCUUGCGAGUACUUUGGAUGAGUACUCACGGUUUCUUUGCUCCCUCUUUUCCCCCUUUCUAUACCCAAUUGCUGCGACCAGACGAUGGAGCCUAGGAGCCAGACGCCACUGUCGACGACGACUACUACUACUCGGGAGGUGCCUACUACUACGUGCAGCCCGCUGACGACGACCAGGAGUAGUUUAGGAGGAUCCCAGGUAGGAGGCAUGCGCCUCUUUCGAUCUGUAUCCCAGUUUGUGCUAGCCUUCUUAAGGCAAACUUGUUUAACUUAUGUCUGUACCCAGAUAUUGUUGCUUCCGCUGACUCGUCUAUGAUUGAGCUCUUGUAUUCGAGCCCUCGAGGCCCCUAGCUUGUAAUAUGAUGCUUGUAUGACUUAUUUUAUUUGUAGAGUUGUCUUGUGAUAUCUCCCCGUGAGUCCCUGAUCUUGAUCGUACACGUUUGCGUGUACGAUCGAAUCGGGGGCGUCACAAGUUGGUAUCAGAGUCGACUGCCUGUAGGAAUCCCCCUUCCAUACUCAUUGGCCGAAGUUGAUUCUAGUCAUUACAAAUCUUUUACUAACAUGGCUGUGUGGCUUACGGGCCCACGUCGCCAUUCUGGUGGUAUUAGGAUCUUUUAUUCCUCGUCUAUACUCUGGGACUCUGAUCUCUCUUCUAUUCGGGUUAAAAUAUUUUGCUAACUCUAACUUUAGGUUCUCGUAAUUACUUCCUUCCGGAGAGCCCCUUAUUACAGAUGAUCGUCUGCCGCUCCAGAAGAUUCCGAGUUCUCCUGAGACACCUGUACCCAUAAUCUUUGCAAUUCCCUACCACCGUAUCCUUAUGGAUGACUACCUACACUUUCCAUUCAUACAAUCAAUACCCUUUGAUCUUGUUAUUACAAGAUACCUCGAAUUUCUCUCCAUUGUUCCGAGAAUACUUGUGCCUACUGCCUUGCAGUUCCUUGCCACCUCAAUACCCUACGGAUAAUUCCUCACACUUACCUAGUAUCCGCUCAUCCCCAGAUGAUUCAUCUAUUUCACAAGAGUCUCCAAAAUACCAUUCGGUCUUCCGAAAAUCCUAAGCAACCUAUUGCUCCUGAAAUUCUUGCUUGCUUGCAUUAUGAUUAAUCCCAUAAGUCUGGUAAUCUUAUUGGCAUCCUUUGUCAUUAGCAUUUUGAGUCCGUUAAUUAAUUAUGUCGUGAAUGCUCGUAAUCCUCAAUCAGAUCCUAGAAUUCAUCCUCCUAGCUCAGAUGUCAUUUUAAACAUGAGCUGGAUCUCGACCAAUCAAUUUGCCAUCGAUUAUACCCCUAAGGCUAUACAACUUAUCCAUCCCUAAUCAGAGCAUUGCUUCUGAUCCCUUGUCUUGGAAUUCAUAAUUCCUUUGCAUUUGAGCUUUGAUUUAGUCAGUUGUUUCUAUAAUCUGAUCUCCUUGCAUUCUUUCUUCCUCUGGUUGAGUACCAAUACUCCCAUCAGACCCCUUUUGGACCACCAGAUCCUUUGUUGGAUUUUGUCAGACACCAUCCUUCAUAUUCAUUAAACAUUGUGAGCUUUCAUCUACAUAAUGCUUUUGGUAAAUUGUAUCCUCUGCUUUGUGAACCAUGCUCUACUUUUGAGCUUGUAUUAUUUACUCCGAAAUUUGUGGUAUAUGUUCCUAAGAUGCCCUGAUGGGUUGAACCUACGCCUUUCCUAAUUUGUGUGAACCCGAAAGAUUGCACGGGUCAUACUUAUCUGGUAUUGCACAAGGUAAAAACUUUCAACAACUAAUGUCAUUUUCAAAAUUCGAGAGCAGCGAAUGAAAGGUUAUGCAUUGAAGAAGUGGGAGUCAACCUUGAACCUUUGUGUUCAUGCCCAUGGACACGAUGUAGAUCCUAUCAUUAAAGCCUAUCUUUAUUUAAGUAUUCCCUUGGUAUAAGUUCAUCUUAUAUCUGGGAUCUAGCCUUUUACAAUCAUGGUUCCGACCAUGUUCCCAUUUAAAUACCAUUUCACGUGUAAGUUUAAGCACUUGUCUUCUGCAGAGCAAUACCCUAGUCCGACCUCUAUUUUGAUCUGUCGUCGAGUAUUACCCCCUGGUAUCUCGAGAUUAUCAUGAACUACAUAACUUAUGAGUUCUUCAUCAAGUACUGCAUUCUCACUGAUUCCACUUUUCACGCGUUCUAAGUUAUUAAAGGGACACCGAUAACUGAACCGAGUCCGCACUACGGUUCAACAACUUUUGGUAAUCUUCUUUACUUAUGGGUUUGUACCCGAUCAUGUCAUUCCUAGCCUGUUUGGCUAUAUCACUGUCGUCAUGGUUUUAACUGUGCUACCUGGUCCUUCUUCCCGGAGCACAAAUUUCGACAUUGAGCUAAUCUUACGUCGACCUUCCUCGUCUUGUCAUUUCUCCUUGAACAUCAAACCUGUUUUCGAGUUUAUGUCGUACCCUUGGUUCCCAUAACCUUUCGCUUCAUCAUCAUUUGACUGGAUGGCAUCGCCGACCGAUUACAUCUUCAUGAAAUCUCUCGACAAAUGUGCCGUGUUCAUCAUCAACAUCCUGAGCUCUUCCAAGAUAUAUAUCGAAUUCUUGAUGAGAAAUACCAUCCUCGCCCUUCGAUGGUUUGUGUUAUCAUUGACCACUUUAUUGCCUUCCGUUCAACACAAACCUAUUUGUGUUUUGUGUUAUACCUUGAGAUCCCUGCUAUCCAGCAUUCGUUCUUCUUUACCUUGGAGUAUUACCAUCUUUUAUGUCAAGGAUGUCAUGGGAAUUUCACCGUUUCUUCAGAAUUCUUGAUACAAGUGAUACUUAUCACCAUCACCCUUCUUUUCUUGAUCCCCGUGUUGUUUCUAACUUGAAUACCAACAAUUGAACUAUGAUGCGUGAAUUCAAAACUUCUAGCAACCCUAUUGUUUUGAAGUGAAUGGCCGAUAGUUUCAUUAUCGAAUCACCAUUCUAACUUUGACCGUCCUACUUGGUCCAUAUUUCCAGGUGCAUUUGCGUUCAAUAUUUAAUGGUGGAAAUCCAUCCUUUGGAAAUCUUGAUGAAUUGUCCCUAAGUCCAUCAGCCACCUCCUCAACCUCUCCUUGGGUUAAUGAUGAACUCUUGUUUCGGAACUCGCUUCCAUAGUUCAUUUCCUGAUGAUCUUACAUUGUCAUCUUGUCAAUUUGUGUUGCACCUUUUCUUCUCAGGCGUCCCGAGUCUGAGGUAUCUUGGCACUAAUCAGAUCUAAAUCUCGGUCAAAUAUGAUGGUUGGGACAUAUUCCCAAGAGUUAUAACAUUGAUCUUUUAUGACCCGAUAAGGUGAUGCCAUGCCCAGCACACCUGGCCGGAGGACCUACUAUUAUAGUUUCCUUAUUAGCAAGGUUAUCCAUUCUCCCAUGAGGAAAUUGUAAGACUUAUUCUACAAGUUGUUCCUGAUGGAUCCUUCCUGUAUCCAAAGUCUGACCUUCGCUUGAUGACGAUGUCAAUGCUAUCUCGAUGCAUGUCUGUGGCACUCUGAUCAUCGAUAAGAACAUUUGAAGGGCCAUGCUAAAUUUACUUUAUCAAUUAUUCAAACACUGAUGUUUGGGAAAUGUCAUGAACUUCCUCUCCCCUAACCUAAAUGGUUUUCUACGUUAUAUCCUGUCAUGGAUAUCAUGCUCUGCUUGUCCUUGGGAAGGAUAUACCCCUGAUAUAUGUGUUCAAACACAUUUUCCUUUCCAUUGUUUUGUUUAUCCUUUCUUGUAAUCUCACUUAGCUGAGCUGUGGUAAUUCCCUGCUUAUGUAAGCACCUCGUGGUACAACUCUGCCAGUAAGACCCUAUUACUAUAACUGAUGAUAUUUCGGUAGUCACCGAUGGACGAGAACUUUGCCUAAUGGUCCGCCUCGUUCAAUGAGCAGGAAAAUGGUUCUCUUCGUCCCUCACCCUUGGUAUCGACAGUGUUGCCAACAUAACUGAUAGGCUACCCUAUGACAUGUCUUGCUAUCAUAACCGUGCAAGAUAUCAACGCGUUUCCUACUUUUAACCACAUGGUGGGCCAAUAACCCACAGUUCCACAGGAUCGAAACCUAACUCUCAUGUACACCCCCGGUUUCUAAAGUUAUUCCUCGCGCUUGACUUCGUUGGUAAUUCAUGGGGUCACCUUCUUUGUAAUCUAUUCUGGUAUUAUACGCAAUACUUAUUCCCGUUGCUCUGAACGCCUUUCACCCUUUGUCUCGGGCAUCGAAUGAUUGCCUCCCUAUUGAAAUUUCUUAAGGUAUCUUCUAACUUAACUCUUGAUGUUUUCUUAAGUUCAAUUCUAGAGUUACUUUCUACCACAUUCCUUGAGUUAUCUACCAGAUAGUCAACCUGGUAAGGCCCGCCCUUCCCGAGUCUUCCCCCAUAUCCUUUUCGUAAGUACGAUGAAGAUCCCGGAGAAAGGAUGACGACUUCAUCAUUUUGACCUCAAGCAGAAGUAUGAAGACAUCAAUAUAUUGAUUGACCUAUUCGAGAAGAGCAACCAACACCGAGAAGACCCGUUAGAAUUUCGUAACCAAUCUCUCCCCCUUACUCCCCUCCUAAAUCUCGGGACGAGAUUUCUUGUAGUGGAGGAGAAUUGUGACGCCGGGAUAAUCAAGCUACAGUAACCUCCGCUAAUGAUGCCACGUCACCUCGAUUACUGUUGCUAAUCUUGCGUUAGUUCGAAACCAAGUUCAAAUUUUAAAAAUAAAGUCAACCAAUAAAAGUUUCCAAACAUUAAAACUAAAAUGCCCUAAACGUGCCAAAUAAUGCAUAGGUAAUUAUGGUUAAGAAACCCCAUUUCAAUAAAAUGUUUAAGUACCCUUAGGUGAAUAAAACAGUAGCAAAAACCAAUAUUUAAAUGCUUUUAUAAUUAACAAAAUACUAAACUAAACUGCUUUGGGGUAAAACCUAUUAUUGUAGUGGGUUUUAAAGUAUUACUAAAUUAGGGAUCAUUUUAAUAUUAGAUAAAAAACUAAAUGAAAAGGAAACUAGA